GAUGAACGCUGACAGAAUGCUUAACACAUGCAAGUCUUUGGCGAAGCUGUGCUUGCACAGCCUAGCCAAGGCGGACGGGUGAGUAACGCGUAAGGAACUUGCCCUGCAGUCAGGGAUAACAGACGGAAACGACUGAUAAGACCUGGUAAAGUCAGGCGGACUCAUGUCCAGCCUGAUGAAAAGUGAUGCUGCAGGAGAGCCUUGCGUCCUAUUAGCCUGUUGGUGGGGUAACGGCCCACCAAGGCGAUGAUAGGUAGCCGGCCUGAGAGGGUGGACGGCCACAAGGGGACUGAGAUACGGCCCUUACUCCUACGGGAGGCAGCAGUGGGGAAUAUUGGACAAUGGGGGCAACCCUGAUCCAGCAAUUCUGUGUGCACGAUGAAGGUUUUCGGAUUGUAAAGUGCUUUCAGCAGGGAAGAAAAAAAUGACGGUACCUGCAGAAGAAGCAACGGCUAAAUACGUG
rnacentral:rRNA from 1 species